rnacentral:rRNA from 1 species
UUCCGAACACAGAAGUUAAGCUCUUGAGCGGCAAUGGUACUUGGGGGGCGACCCCCUGGGAGAGUAGCACGUAGCCACGU